CAGAAUGGUGAAAUGAUGCUGCGCUUCUGAGUGAGGGAGCGAAUGGGUUCUCCCUCAGAUUAUAAAUUGACGCCAGUGAACAGCAUUUCUACCAAGGUAGACCAGACCAGUUAUUGCAGAAGGGAAGGAGAAACAGCAAUGUGAAUAGUUUCAACUAGGAUGUUUAAGUAGGAAGGUCUAUUAAAAUGUGGGAGAAUAUCAAGUGCAGCACGUCACAUACCUGGACUUUAAAGAUCUGCUCAUGAAGACAACAAUUUUCUGAGGAAAAUGAGUGCCCAGGAGUCGUGCUCAGAUCAGUACAGUAUAUCUUACUGGUAUCCCCACAGCGUGGUCUGACCCCUUGGUGUUGAUUUGCCAGACCUGCAGAGCCUUUCAAAGGAGUUCAUUACUGCCAAUGAAGCCACAGCACCAGGAGAGAACUUCAGUGAGGAAGGAAGGACAGCUUCAAGAAUAAACAGAAGCAAGAGGAGAGAUGCAUUAAAUAAUAAAUACUGGAUGACAAGCACUGAAGACAUGGAAGAACAGAGAAACCCCAGUGAGUGCUUUUUGCACCAGCUAUGACAGUGGAGGAACCAAUGCUAUAUACGUAUAUGUUUUUUUUUCUUUUAAAUAUUGUGUUCGUAAAUACCUGAUCAAUCUUGCGCACUCUCUCUCUCAAAACAAACCCCAGGGACUUCAAGUCGUUUUUUAUUGGCAAAAUUGUUGUUGAUUGGCAAAAUCGUUGUCUGUUUUCCAUCUUAUUAUAAAAUUGCUGGGCCUUGAACUAUCCUUCUCAUGGACUUGAAAGUUAGAAGUAGAGUGCCACAACUGAGGCAAGUGCAGUGUAGGCCCUAGCCACUGUACUCUUGAGUAUUAUACCUCGUUUCGCCUGUGGUCUGGUGCCUAUAGGUAGAUUUUAGGUGUUUAAAAUAACCAUCCAUUUCUGGUUAUAUCAAAUUGUCUGUAAUUCCUUAACUAUUCAUGUAACUGCAGUUCUUGGUGUAAACGUUUAAUGAAGACUUGUAUUCCUAGUAUUCUCUGCUCAUGUCUUGAGAAGGCAACAGAGUAGAGGUGUUUUCAAAUGGAUUGGUAAGAUUAUAGAGGUGGUUCUGAUUUCAUGUUGAAGUUAAAUUUACCACACCUGUGGUCAAAGGGUGUAAUGUCCAGCUCCACCCUCCACUAGUCUUCCUUCUCUCCAGAAACAAGGUUCAUAUUAUAGAACCAGAUGAUUGUUCUGUAACUGCUCUUAGCUAGAGCUCUCAACUUCUUUUGGGGAGCUGGCCCAACUUUUACCUUAUUUUCUGAGCGCCUCAGUGGCGUGGUUGGUAUGGUGUUGGCGUCCUACCUCAGUGGUCGCGUAAAGCCGUUGGUCCCGUUGCUGAAUAACCACUGGUUCCAUGCAAUGUAAAAGCACCAUACACACAAACAAACCUUAUUUUCUGAUGCUGGACCUCCUUUAUUCAUUGUUGGACCUUAUGACGUGUUCUUUUAAUACUAUUUCUUUGACCUUCACUUUUUUUGGUAGGGUUGGGCUCCCUUGCUUUGCCAUUCAUCAUGUCCUGUCCAAUAGGCAAGACCUUCAGUGUGUACCAUAUCAUCAAGAAAGACGUUCCCCCUCACAUGGAACCACCUUGACGUGGCAUAUUUUCUGGCAAGGAGUGCCCUUAUAUCUGUCGUGUCAAGGACCAAGCAGAGGGUUGGUCCAUUCCAAUCCUUCCAAGUCCUGUUGGAGGAGUAUGAAUUUGUGUAGAUCAUGUAGUGUCAGGAUUGUUUUUGCAAUUAGUGACCACCAGCUUGAUUUUCUCUUGUUAAGGAACUGUAGCAUUACAAGGUGUUUGUUUCCCAAAGUAAAACUGUCACAGGCUGUGUUUUGUGACUGAAAACUGUUUGGCAUAACUUUUUAGUUCAAAUCUCGGAGUCUGUAACUGCUUGUAAAACUGCUUUGUCAGUUCCUUGCAUGCAGGUUCUGAACUACUAUUGCUUUCAAUCUCUUGAUUCUGUCUUGUUUAGAAUUAAUUAAAUUGCAUUCUGUUCUACCUUAACCUCUCGAGUUUGUUCCAUUUUGUCUACUUCCGUAAGAGUUGUCAAUAGAUUAUGAGCCAUAAUGACAGUGGUCAGAUGCUCACUUUUUAAUUGGAGGCGUUGCAAGUGUGCCCUGGAUGGAGGAAUUUGUUUGUUGGGUCAGUGUAUAGGUCCUGAGGUAUUUUGGCUUAGGGUGCACAGGGACCAGGACACACUUCUCUCUCCCCACCCCUUCCUAUAUAUCAUCGUUCUUGCAUCAUUCUCCUGAUUCUUGUCUGGACUAGUCGGUAGAAACUAGGUUUUUGAAACACCCCUCCAUCUUCAUUUCAAAUUAUACCAAUGGUGACUUUCAUACUCUGAUUUGUAGCAUCAAUGUUGAAGUAUUAAUCACCUAAUGCUUCUCAUCCUUCUGAUUAGUGAAUUACUAUCCUUCUCUUGGGGACGGUUGAGCUUGAUAAGAGAGCUUUGAGAAUUCUACUUUUACUCUGUUAGAGAAUCGAAGUGGAGCUGUAUGUCCUUGUCAUCUUUGAAUUGACUGUUUUGCCAUCUUGAACUGUCUUGAUUGGUCAAGAUCGUUUAAGAUUUUUAAUGGCGUAAAACCACUGACUCUCUCUCUCUCUCUCUCUCUCUCUCUCUCUCUCUCUCGCU